rnacentral:lncRNA from 1 species
AUGUGGAUUUUCUCUGCUCUUCAAAGUGAUUUUCAGGCAGCAGAACUCACGAUUGGACUUCUCUGGGCCUAUUUGGGAACCCAGCUAAGGAUGCCACAUUCAGCAGGUGUCUUUGGCCUGAAUGCUCCUCAACACCUGCUACCUUCUUGCUGAUUUUAAUACAUAUCUCAACUGCUACAUGAGGGGAGCUAAUCUAGUGAAAGAUGAACUCAGUGGGUUAACAAGGAUCCCCUGGCAGAGCACAGUGUGCUGUGUGUGAGCUGAAAGAGGAAACAUACGGGUGUGGAGUGAUUACAGAAAACGCAACCUGAGUGCUCUGGGGAAGGUGGGACUGCCAAGGACAGGAGAAAGAUGUCAAUGACCUGAGGAGGGCUGCUGGGCCUGGCUCGUGGAUGUAAAAGCCAGCUUAGGUUUUGAAUGUGAGUAACUGGAAUAUCCACAUAAAAUGAUUAAGACUUCUUUGGUGCUUAAUCAGCUGAACAAAUAUUGCUGAAUAAAUGUAUAAAAGCAUUUAUAUGCA